UCCGGCCACAUCACAUUGAAACAUUAGUACCCGUUACGAUCACUGAAGUUAAGUACGGCUGAGUCAGGUCAGGUACCUUGAUGGGUGACCGAUUGGAAAUACCAACUGUUGUAAG